UACAGAGGUCUCAAGCGUUGCUCGGAUUCAUUGGGCGUAAAGGGUGCGUAGGCGGCGCGGUAAGUCGGGUGUGAAAUCUUGGAGCUUAACUCCGAAACUGCAUUCGAUACUGCCGUGCUUGAGGACUGGAGAGGAGACUGGAAUUUACGGUGUAGCGGUGAAAUGCGUAGAUAUCGUAAGGAAGACCAGUGGCGAAGGCGGGUCUCUGGGCCGAUACUGACGCUGAGGAGCGAAAGCGUGGGGAGCAAACAGG
rnacentral:rRNA from 1 species